GUGCCAGCAGCCGCGGUAAUACGGAAGGUCCGGGCGUUAUCCGGAUUUAUUGGGUUUAAAGGGAGCGCAGGCCGUAGGUUAAGCGUGCCGUGAAAUGUACCGGCUCAACCGGUGAGUUGCGGCGCGAACUGGCUUACUUGAGUGCGUACGAGGGUGGCGGAAUUCGUGGUGUAGCGGUGAAAUGCUUAGAUAUCACGAAGAACUCCGAUUGCGAAGGCAGCUGCCCAGUCCGUAACUGACGCUAAUGCUCGAAGGUGCGGGUAUCGAACAGGAUUAGAUACCCUGGUAGUCCGCACGGUAAACGAUGGAUGCCCGCUGUUGGCGAUACAAUGUCAGCGGCCAAGCGAAAGCGUUAAGCAUCCCACCUGGGGAGCACGCCGGCAACGGUGAAACUCAAAGGAAUUGACGGGGGCCCGCACAAGCGGAGGAACAUGUGGUUUAAUUCGAUGAUACGCGAGGAACCUUACCCGGGCUUGAACUGCAGGGGAACGAUCCAGAGAUGGUGAGGUCAGCAAUGACCCCUGUGGAGGUGCUGCAUGGUUGUCGUCAGCUCGUGCCGUGAGGUGUCGGCUUAAGUGCCAUAACGAGCGCAACCCUUUUCGCUAGUUGCCAUCAGGUGAUGCUGGGCACUCUGGCGAUACUGCCACCGUAAGGUGUGAGGAAGGUGGGGAUGACGUCAAAUCAGCACGGCCCUUACGUCCGGGGCUACACACGUGUUACAAUGGGUGGUACAGAGAGUCAGUGCGUCGCAAGUCGCAUUCAAUCAUGAAAGCCAUCCUCAGUUCGGAUUGGGGUCUGCAACCCGACCCCAUGAAGCUGGAUUCGCUAGUAAUCGCGCAUCAGCCAUGGCGCGGUGAAUACGUUCCCGGGCCUUGUACACACCGCCCGU
rnacentral:rRNA from 1 species